UUUAUACUCCCUCCGUCCGGAAAAACUUGUCCCUCAAAUGGAUGUAUCUAGCACCAACUUGGUGCUACAUAUAUCCAUUUGAGGGACUAGCUUUUUCGGACGGAGGGAGUAUAUG
rfam:Triticum aestivum genome assembly, contig: Triticum_aestivum_CS42_TGACv1_scaffold_558494_7AL